ensembl:misc_RNA Y_RNA Y RNA
CGCUGGUCCGAGGUAAUAACUUAGUUGACUGUUCACAACCAGUUACAGAUCAAACAGCUUCUAAUACCCUGCUCCCCCUUCUCACUACUGCACUGACUGGUCUUCA